GGCUUCGUAGCUCAGAUGGUAGAGCGCUUGCCGCGUAGAGGCAUGGUGUUUCUGUCGCUGGUUCGAAUCCAGCCGAAGCCC
rnacentral:tRNA from 1 species